AAUGAAAACAAUGGAACAGCUCAAUUCACAAACUUGAGUUCUGACCAUAGGAGUUGAACCAGAGAGGAGGUCCCUAUGGCACUCACCCAUCAGUACAGUCCCUUGAAUUCCCAUCUGAAGACAUUGAAUGCUCUGUUCUCUUAGAAGAUCCUAGCCAUAAGUGGCAUAUAAGAGAUUCUCAACAGCAACAACAACGACAAACAAAUAAAUAAAGAAAGAAAGAAUGAAUUCAUUACUACCUUGAAUAUGAAGAACACGCUAAGUAUUUUCCGUGUGAUGAUCUAAAUUUUCAUCCCCCAGAGAAGAGUAUCCUUGGAAACAGGUCUGGCAGCAUCAUUAGGCAAACCAGAACAGAAGGUGGCCGGAACCUGGCCUGUGUGUCUGCCUCACAGAGCUCCAAGUCAGAAGGAGAGUGCCCCUCACUGAGCUCCUGGCAUUCAAUGUUCAGUCUGGAAAGGAAGCGUGACCAUCUGCCUUGGACUCUGUCGAAUGGAGCCUGUCCUCACUGCUCAGUCCCGUGGACAUGUGAGUCAUUGGCCACUUGGAAUAGAAGUAAGGUCUCUAACUGCAUCCUGAGCAAUGACAGGUCUGGGGUCAGAAUAAAGACCAAUAGGACAGCAGGGAAAAGAAGGCAGAAGAAGUAGGUCAGUGCCUGCUCCUCAGGACCUGAGACAGAACAGUGCUGAGACCUGGAUGGCUUAAUGCUCGAUCAAGCUUCUCUCUAAGACGCAUAACAAAUAGCAAGGAGAAGCAGCCCCAAGAGAGCUCUUUGAAAACACUGGCUCUAGCACACUCAAUUUACAGACAGGGAAGCUGAGGCUCAAAAAGAGAGAGUGACAGCAGGUGAACAGCAAAGCCAGUCAAAAUCAGGGGCUCCAACUCCCUGGCAUAGCUUCUUUGACUACAAUAGUAUGACUUUUGUCACUGGCUGAGGAUAACCAAAGCAGUACUAUGGUCGUUGGUGACUGUUUCAGUGAUUAUCAGUUUAAGGAGUCAAUUUCUCAGCCUGAGGACCCCAGUGACAGACCAUUAACAAGCCUCCAGAUAAUACAGCUUACAUCAAAACAACUUUUAUUUCCUAGACAUUUUCUCAGCUGUGCCUUAAAAUAAGAAAUAUAUGUCUAAUUUCAUCGAGCUCUGUGCUGCCUGCUACCAUCAAAGAACAACGAGGAAAUACUGAUAGAUAGAGGCUGCAAAGAGGGUGUAAAAUUAGGGGAAGAAUGAUGACAGUGGACGUACCCAUCUGACCAGCCAAGCGGGUACAUCUCCCGUGAAUUUUGUCCUGGUUUAGCCUCUUAGCAUAGCCAGAGCAGAGCAGAAAGGGUAUCGCCAGGGGCUUGGACUUAAAGCCACCCCAAACAGGUCUUCACCAGUAAAAGGCACUCCGUCCUUCCAGCUGCUCUUCACAAACUUGUAAUGUUAUCCUUGACUCUCUCUGCAUCUCAUCCAUGGGUAAACAUCACUGACCCUAACUCCAAAAGCCACGUGUUUGUUUUCUUUUGCUGCUGGAACAAAUCACUCCAAACACAGGGGUUUAACACAACGUAAUUUUUUUUAAUCUUAGAGUUCUGGAGGUCGGGCAUCUGUAGGGCUGCGUUCCUUCUAGAGGGUCUAAGAAAAAAACUUUUUCUUUGAUUUUUUCGGCUUCUAGAAGCUGACUACAUUCUUUGGCUCCCGGCUCCUUCUUCAGUCAUCAAAGCCAGAAGCAAGCAUAGCACCUUUUCUGUGUCUGUUUCUUCCAUGUUCACAUCACCUUCUCUCUUUCUUUUCCCUUUCCAGCUUUGUUGAGUUACAAUUGAUAAACAAACAUUGUAUGUAUUUAAGGUGUACAGCGUGAUGUUUUCAUAUAGGUAUGCUAUGUGAAAUGAUUACCACAAUAAAGCUAC